UACGUAGGAGGCGAGCGUUGUCCGGAAUUACUGGGCGUAAAGCGCGUGUAGGCGGUCUGAAUAGUCUGCUGUGAAAGCGCUUGGCUUAACCGGGCGAGGUCGGCGGAAACUCUCAGACUGGAGGCCGGUAGAGGGGGUGGAAUUCCCGGUGUAGUGGUGAAAUGCGUAGAGAUCGGGAGGAACACCUGUGGCGAAGGCGGCCCCCUGGGCCGCGCCUGACGCUGAGACGCGAAGGCUAGGGGAGCGAACGGG
rnacentral:rRNA from 1 species